AUUACCCUGCCAUGUUCGACAAGAAACAAAAAUCUUAACUCCAACACUAUUUCAUAGGGAUCUCGGAUCUAUUGGCUGUGUCAAAGCCUUCUUGCGGGAAGGACUGCCUAUGCCAGUGUAUGAGACCCCCCUUGUACAUACAGGGGUGAUAAGGUUUUUGUUCAAUCGGCAUUGCGGCAGGGUUUUU
rnacentral:other from 1 species